rnacentral:rRNA from 1 species
CCUACGGGAGGCAGCAGUGAGGAAUAUUGGUCAAUGGGCGAGAGCCUGAACCAGCCAAGUAGCGUGCAGGAUGACGGCCCUAUGGGUUGUAAACUGCUUUUUAUAAGGGAAUAAAGUGAGCCUCGUGAGGCUUUUUGCAUGUACCUUAUGAAUAAGGACCGGCUAAUUCCGUGCCAUGCA